rnacentral:rRNA from 1 species
GAUGAACGCUGGCGGCGUGCCUAAUACAUGCAAGUCGAGCGAACAGACGAGGAGCUUGCUCCUCUGACGUUAGCGGCGGACGGGUGAGUAACACGUGGAUAACCUACCUAUAAGACUGGGAUAACUUCGGGAAACCGGCGCUAAUACCGGAUAAUAUCUUGAACCGCAUGGUUCAAUAGUGAAAGACGGUUUUGCUGUCACUUAUAGAUGGAUCCGCGCCGCAUUAGCUGGUUGGUAAGGUAACGGCUUACCAAGGCGACGAUGCGUAGCCGAACUGAGAGGGUGAUAGGCCACAUGGGAAGUGAGACAGCGUCCAGACUCCUACGGGAGGCAGCAGUAGGGAAUCUUACGCAAUGGGCGAAAGCCUGACGGAGCAACGCCGCGUGAGUGAUGAAGGUGUUCGGAUCGUAAAACUCUGUUAUUAGGGAAGAACAAAUGUGUAAGUAACUAUGCACGUCUUGACGGUACCUAAUCAGAAAGCCACGGCUAACUACGUG